rnacentral:rRNA from 2 species
CCUACGGGAGGCAGCAGUGGGGAAUAUUGCACAAUGGGCGCAAGCCUGAUGCAGCAACGCCGCGUGAGGGAUGACGGCCUUCGGGUUGUAAACCUCUUUUAGCAGGGAAGAAGCGAAAGUGACGGUACCUGCAGAAAAAGCGCCGGCUAACUACGUGCCAGCAGCCGCGGUAAU